GGGUUGUGAGGUUAAGCGACUAAGCGUACACGGUGGAUGCCUAGGCAAUCAGAGGCGAUGAAGGACGUGCUAAUCUGCGAAAAGCGUCGGUAAGGUGAUAUGAACCGUUAUAACCGACGAUGUCCGAAUGGGGAAACCCAGUGCAAUUCGUUGCACUAUCGUUUGAUGAAUCCAUAGUCAAACGAGGCGAACCGGGGGAACUGAAACAUCUCAGUACCCGAGGAAAAGAAAUCAACCGAGAUUCCCCUAGUAGCGGCGAGCGAACGGGGAGCAGCCCAGAGUCUUAAUCAGCAUCAGCAUCAGGAGAACGGUCUGGAAAGGCCGGCAAUAAAGGGUGAUAGCCCCGUAUCCGAAGGUGUUGGUGUUGUGAACUCGACGAGUAGGGCGGGACACGUGUUAUCCUGUCUGAAUAUGGGGGGACCAUCCUCCAAGGCUAAAUACUCCUGAUUGACCGAUAGUGAACCAGUACCGUGAGGGAAAGGCGAAAAGAACCCCGGCGAGGGGAGUGAAAUAGAACCUGAAACCGUGUACGUACAAGCAGUGGGAGCCUUGAUUUAUCAGGGUGACUGCGUACCUUUUGUAUAAUGGGUCAGCGACUUAUAUUCUGUAGCAAGGUUAACCGUAUAGGGGAGCCGUAGGGAAACCGAGUCUUAACUGGGCGAAUGAGUUGCAGGGUAUAGACCCGAAACCCGGUGAUCUAGCCAUGGGCAGGUUGAAGGUUGGGUAACACUAACUGGAGGACCGAACCGACUAAUGUUGAAAAAUUAGCGGAUGACUUGUGGCUGGGGGUGAAAGGCCAAUCAAACCGGGAGAUAGCUGGUUCUCCCCGAAAGCUAUUUAGGUAGCGCCUCGUGAACUCAUCUUCGGGGGUAGAGCACUGUUUCGGCUAGGGGGUCAUCCCGACUUACCAACCCGAUGCAAACUACGAAUACCGAAGAAUGUUAUCACGGGAGACACACGGCGGGUGCUAACGUUCGUCGUGAAGAGGGAAACAACCCAGACCGCCAGCUAAGGUCCCAAAGUCAUGGUUAAGUGGGAAACGAAGUGGGAAGGCUCAGACAGCCAGGAUGUUGGCUUAGAAGCAGCCAUCAUUUAAAGAAAGCGUAAUAGCUCACUGGUCGAGUCGGCCUGCGCGGAAGAUGUAACGGGGCUAAACCAUGCACCGAAGCUGCGGCAGCGACAUGUAAAUGUUGUUGGGUAGGGGAGCGUUCUGUAAGCCUGUGAAGGUGUGCUGCGAGGCAUGCUGGAGGUAUCAGAAGUGCGAAUGCUGACAUAAGUAACGAUAAUGCGGGUGAAAAACCCGCACGCCGGAAGACCAAGGGUUCCUGUCCAACGUUAAUCGGGGCAGGGUGAGUCGACCCCUAAGGCGAGGCAGAAAUGCGUAGUCGAUGGGAAACAGGUUAAUAUUCCUGUACUGGUGAUAAUUGCGAUGGGGGGACGGAGAAGGCUAGGCUGGCCGGGCGACGGUUGUCCCGGUUUAAGGAUGUAGGUGGGCGAAUUAGGCAAAUCCGGUUCGCUAUACACUGAGGUCUGAUGACGAGUCACUACGGUGGCGAAGUAGCUCAUGCCCCGCUUCCAGGAAAAGCCUCUAAGCUCUAGAUUAUCAUUAAUCGUACCCCAAACCGACACAGGUGGUCAGGUAGAGAAUACUCAGGCGCUUGAGAGAACUCGGGUGAAGGAACUAGGCAAAAUGGUGCCGUAACUUCGGGAGAAGGCACGCUGGCACUAGGUGAAGUGGUUUACCCAUGGAGCUGAAGCCAGUCGCAGAUACCAGCUGGCUGCAACUGUUUAUUAAAAACACAGCACUGUGCAAACACGAAAGUGGACGUAUACGGUGUGACGCCUGCCCGGUGCUGGAAGGUUAAUUGAUGGGGUUAUCCGUAAGGAGAAGCUCUUGAUCGAAGCCCCAGUAAACGGCGGCCGUAACUAUAACGGUCCUAAGGUAGCGAAAUUCCUUGUCGGGUAAGUUCCGACCUGCACGAAUGGCGUAAUGAUGGCCAGGCUGUCUCCACCCGAGACUCAGUGAAAUUGAACUCGCUGUGAAGAUGCAGUGUACCCGCGGCAAGACGGAAAGACCCCGUGAACCUUUACUAUAGCUUGACACUGAACAUUGAGCCUUGAUGUGUAGGAUAGGUGGGAGGCUUUGAAGUGUGGACGCCAGUCUGCAUGGAGCCAACCUUGAAAUACCACCCUUUAAUGUUUGAUGUUCUAACGUAGCCCCAUAAUCUGGGGUGCGGACAGUGUCUGGUGGGUAGUUUGACUGGGGCGGUCUCCUCCCAAAGCGUAACGGAGGAGCACGAAGGUUGGCUAAGCAUGGUCGGACAUCAUGCGGUUAGUGCAAAGGCAUAAGCCAGCUUGACUGCGAGAGUGACGGCUCGAGCAGGUACGAAAGUAGGUCUUAGUGAUCCGGUGGUUCUGAAUGGAAGGGCCAUCGCUCAACGGAUAAAAGGUACUCCGGGGAUAACAGGCUGAUACCGCCCAAGAGUUCAUAUCGACGGCGGUGUUUGGCACCUCGAUGUCGGCUCAUCACAUCCUGGGGCUGAAGUAGGUCCCAAGGGUAUGGCUGUUCGCCAUUUAAAGUGGUACGCGAGCUGGGUUUAGAACGUCGUGAGACAGUUCGGUCCCUAUCUGCCGUGGGCGUUGGAAGAUUGAAAGGGGCUGCUCCUAGUACGAGAGGACCGGAGUGGACGCACCGCUGGUGUUCGGGUUGUCAUGCCAAUGGCACUGCCCGGUAGCUAAGUGCGGAAGAGAUAACCGCUGAAAGCAUCUAAGCGGGAAACUUGCCUUGAGAUGAGUCUUCCCUGACCCUUUAAGGGUCCUAAAGGAACGUUUAAGACGAAGACGUUGAUAGGCUGGGUGUGUAAGCGUAGCGAUACGUUGAGCUAACCAGUACUAAUGAACCGUGAGGCUUAACCUGACAACACCGAAGGUGUUUUAG
rnacentral:rRNA from 1 species